AACAGGAUGUGUUGUGCUGUCCAAAAAGCUGACAUUUCCUGUUUUCAGUUUUGCUGAUGGACUUCAGUGGUAUUUCCAUCCUACAGGGAUCACUUAAGGAGUUCACCUUCCUUUACGUUUGGAGACCCAGGUGCUGAGGAAAAAGCAAAAGAGUAAGAAAAGAGAUGAAAGAACUUGUAACCAAGAUUGCUUGGAUUCUGGAUGAACAGCAAGAUCCAGUUUCCAUUGCUUUGGGGAAUCUUUUAACAGCAAGAAGAUGAGUCUGUGAAGAAGGAAACAUACAAAGCUCUAAGAUGGAGGUAUGCAAGAAUCCUUGACAUAGCUAAGAAAUGUGAAGUUGGUCUUAGUGUAUCUAUUUGCUAAGUCCUCUAUUAGAAUUCUUGCUGCUCCUCAGAAAAUUCUGCCUCUGUCAAACCAUUUCUGUAUGCAGGAAAGCAUUGUGUUUACAGCUCUGUGAAGAAUUACCUUGGGUUUCCUGCAGACUUGUAAACCAGCUGUGUAUUUCCUUCAGUCUUAAUCUUAUGCUUGUAAGAAAAAGUGUUUGGAAGCUUGAAGUUAGGCUGAAUUGUCUUCCCAUUCCUUCAAAUCAUGGUCACAGAAGCUGGUUCUGAUGCUUAUUACUAGUUGACCAUGGUAUCCUAACUGCUGAGUUUGUCUUGUUAUCUCUAUAGACAGGCUGCUCUGUUACCAGGUACUGUUAGACUGGAGAAGGGAAGGGUCCAGCAAAAUAAUUUGAACAAUUGUGUUGGUUUAAAUAUUUAGAUCUAACCACCAGCUUCUUGCGAUUGUGUUGUAACCAUGUGUUUUUGUUUCCUGUCUAUAAAAUGUGACAAAUACUUUCUUCUUCCCAUCAUAUAUGAAAUUAUAUGCUCUUUAGGAUACUGACUUUUCAGUUCAUAAGGCUCAGAGGACCCCUUGUGACCCUUAAGCACACCAAUGCUGUCAUCAAUAAAAUGAUCUUAAGUCUUC